rnacentral:rRNA from 1 species
UUUAAUGAGAGUUUGAUCCUGGCUCAGGACGAACGCUGGCGGCGUGCCUAAUACAUGCAAGUAGAACGCUGAGGUUUGGUGUUUACACUAGACUGAUGAGUUGCGAACGGGUGAGUAACGCGUAGGUAACCUGCCUCAUAGCGGGGGAUAACUAUUGGAAACGAUAGCUAAUACCGCAUAAGAGUAAUUAACACAUGUUGGUUAUUUAAAAGGAGCAAUUGCUUCACUGUGAGAUGGACCUGCGUUGUAUUAGCUAGUUGGU